CCCUUAGGUUGGCUUACCUGGAGGGGAAAGCUUUUUCCCAAAGAUGGGGGCAUCUUCUACGGGGUGAUCUGCCGUUCGGACCAAUGAACAGGGAUUGAAUGGAAGCGGGGCUAACCGGGCAGGGUCAGUAUGGCUCCCGAAAUCCGCCACGGGUAUAGCAUCUCCGAGCUUCAAAUGGGCAGGGGACAAAUUGGGUUUCUCGACCCCUGCAAAAGGGAAGGCAAAUCUUUUAAACCCCUGUUUUACAGUUGGGAGUUCGAACGGGCUUGGAAAACCACGCCUUUCGUUGAAACAUGGAAUGCCCUAAGUAAUUUGCAGCGUCAUUCAUUCCACUGCCGGUAGAAUACUCGUGCCCCGCUCCUUUGCACCACAGCGCGCGCCGUCCGCUCCCAUCCCGACUUGGGGUUUAGGGCGACGGCGUCGGUGCUUAUUCGGAUGGCGUAGAAUCUCGAUGUUCCGCAAGGAGGGAGAGGGUCGUAACAACGGUAGCCGUAAUCAUCUACGGCGGCCGCCUGCAUGUCGCCCAUAUGGACAGGCUCCCAACGCGUUGAUGCAUACGCUUGCGAGUGAAAGAGCGCGACAGGUUGCGUUCG
rnacentral:rRNA from 1 species